CCGAAACUAAGUGAGCUACUUUAAAAUAGCCCUAGAGCCAACCCGUCUCUGUUGCAAUAGAGUGGGAUAAUUUUCAAGUAGAGGUGAUAAACCUAUCGAACUUAGAGAUAGCUGGUUUUUUAAAAAAAGAUUUUUAGUUCAGCCUUGAGCCUCUUAUUACACAAAAAUAAAUUUAGAUUCAAGAGUUAUUCAAAUAAGGCACAGCUUAUUUGAAACAGGAUACAACCUAGAAAAAAGGGUAUGACAGAUUAAAUUUUUAACAAGUGGGCCUAAAAGCAGCCACCUUUAAAAAAGCGUCAAAGCUUAAUAUUAACAGACUUAUUAAUGUCCUCAUCAACCUCUAACCCUUAACCAAUAUUAAAAAACUCCAUAAUACUAUGGAAGCUACUAUGCUAGAACAAGUAACAAGAAAAAGACUUUCUCCAAAAUGUAAGCUUAAGCCAUAAUAGACCAACUAAUGGCAAUUAACGUUUAUAAGCUAUUUAUAGUAACCUCAACAAGAAAAACCUAUAUAAAUGACACCGUUAAACUUACACCAGCGCAU
rnacentral:rRNA from 1 species